AUUGAACGCUGGCGGCAGGCCUAAUACAUGCAAGUCGAACGGUAACAGGAAGACGCUUGCUUCUUUGCUGACGAGUGGCGGACGGGUGAGUAAUGUGUGGCAAACCGCCUGAUGGAGGGGGACAAUUACUGGAAACGGUUGCUACUACCGAAUAACGUCGCAAGACCAACGUUUGGGACAUACGGGCCUUUUGACAUCUGCUGUGCCGAGAUGGGAUUUGUUAGUAGGUGGGGUAACGGCUCACCAAGGCGACGAUCCCUAGCUAGUCUGCGAGGGUGACCGGCCACACGGGAACUGGGACACGGCCAAGACUCCUACGGGAGGCAGCAGUGGGGAAUAUUGCACAAUGGGCGAAAGCCUGAUGCAGCAAUGCCGCGUGGAUGAAGAAGGCCUUCGGGUUGUAAAGUACUUUCAGAGGGGAGGAAGGGAGUAAGAUUAAAACCUUCACUCAUUGACGUUACCCGAACAGAAAGCAACGGCUAACUACGUG
rnacentral:rRNA from 1 species